rnacentral:rRNA from 1 species
UACAGAGGGUGCGAGCGUUAAUCGGAAUUACUGGGCGUAAAGCGUGCGUAGGCGGUCAAGUAAGUCGGGUGUGAAAGCCCCGGGCUCAACCUGGGAAUUGCAUUCGAGACUGCGUGGCUAGGGUGCGGAAGAGGGAAGCGGAAUUUCCGGUGUAGCGGUGAAAUGCGUAGAUAUCGGAAGGAACACCUGUGGCAAAAGCGGCUCACUGGACCAUUACUGACGCUGAGGCACGAAAGCUAGGGGAGCAAACAGG